UACGUAGGGUGCGAGCGUUGUCCGGAAUUAUUGGGCGUAAAGAGCUCGUAGGCGGUUUGUUGCGUCUAUCGUGAAAACCUGCAGCUUAACUGUGGGCUUGCGGUGGAUACGGGCAGACUUGAGUUCGGUAGGGGAGACUGGAAUUCCUGGUGUAGCGGUGAAAUGCGCAGAUAUCAGGAGGAACACCGGUGGCGAAGGCGGGUCUCUGGGCCGAUACUGACGCUGAGGAGCGAAAGCUAGGGGAGCAAACGGG
rnacentral:rRNA from 1 species